rnacentral:rRNA from 1 species
UACGUAGGCAGCGAGCGUUGUUCGGAAUUACUGGGCGUAAAGCGUGCGCAGGCGGUUUUGUAAGCCGGAUGUGAAAUCCCCGGGCUUAACCUGGGAAUGGCAUUCGGGACUGCAAGGCUGGAGUGCGGCAGAGGAGACUGGAAUUCCUGGUGUAGCAGUGAAAUGCGUAGAUAUCAGGAGGAACACCGGUGGCGAAGGCGGGUCUCUGGGCCGAUGACUGACGCUGGAGGAGCGAAAGCGUGGGAGCGAACAGGAUAGAUACCCCGGGU